UACGGAGGUCCCAAGCGUUGUUCGGAAUUACUGGGCGUAAAGGGAGCGCAGGCGGACUGGUCCGUCCAAAGUGGAAGCCCGGGGCUUAACCUCGGAACGCCUUUGGAUACCACCAGUCUUGGGUUCGUGAGAGGAAAGCGGAAUUCAGGGUGUAGCGGUGAAAUGCUUAGAUAUCCUGAGGAACACCGAUGGCGAAAGCAGCUUUCUGGCACGACACCGACGCUGAGGCUCGAAAGCGUGGGUAGCAAACGGG
rnacentral:rRNA from 1 species